rnacentral:rRNA from 1 species
GUUUGAUCCUGGCUCAGAACGAACGCUGGCGGCAUGCCUAACACAUGCAAGUCGAACGCUCACCGGGCUUCGGUUCGGUGGGAGUGGCGCACGGGUGAGUAGCGCGUGGGAACCUGCCCUGUUGUGGGGGAUAACCGAGGGAAACUUCGGCUAAUACCGCAUGCGCCCGGGGAAACCCGGGGAAAGAUUUAUCGCAGCAGGAGGGGCCCGCGUCGGAUUAGGUAGUUGGUAGGGUAACGGCCUACCAAGCCUUUGAUCCGUAGCUGGUCUGAGAGGAUGAUCAGCCACACUGGGACUGAGACACGGCCCAGACUCCUACGGGAGGCAGCAGUGGGGAAUAUUGGACAAUGGGCGCAAGCCUGAUCCAGCAAUGCCGCGUGAGUGAUGAAGGCCUUAGGGUUGUAAAGCUCUUUCGCCCGCGACGAUGAUGACGGUAGCGGGAGAAGAAGCCCCGGCUAACUUCGUGCCAGCAGCCGCGGUAAUACGAAGGGGGCGAGCGUUGUUCGGAUUUACUGGGCGUAAAGGGCGCGUAGGCGGCCCUCUUUGUCGCGUGUGAAAGCCCCGGGCUCAACCUGGGAACGGCGCGCGAAACGGGGGGGCUGGAGUUCGGGAGAGGAGCGUGGAAUUCCCAGUGUAGAGGUGAAAUUCGUAGAUAUUGGGAAGAACACCGGUGGCGAAGGCGGCGCUCUGGACCGAGACUGACGCUGAGGCGCGAAAGCGUGGGGAGCAAACAGGAUUAGAUACCCCUGGUAGUCCACGCCGUAAACGAUGUGUGCUAGACGUCGGGGAGCCUAGCUCUUCGGUGUCGCCGCAAACGCU